ensembl:lncRNA
GGAGAAGCAGGCUCCAUGCAGGAAGCCGGAUGCGGGACUCGAUCGCGGGUCUCCAGGAUCACGCCCUGGGCCCCCGUCAGCCCCUAACCCACGGAGCCCCCAGGCCCAGAGACGGUGACUGUACCAUCGAGGAUGCCGCCGGGCCUCACGGACACGGAGGCCUUUGAAGUGGGUGCGACCAGGACGCGCGUGUCUGGCAGGGAGAACCGGGCGGCGGGGAUGAAGCCGCGUGGGGCAGUGUGAGCACGGGAGCCCGAUGCCGGGUGACAACAAACGAGCCAUUUUCUAGGCAAAUGUCCCUCGAUUUCUGAAUAUAAUGAAGUGUGGGGAAUCCCGCGGACGGUGGAAAUGAGAGGCUGACGUGUUGGCGCAGACUUCACGCCAGCAGGCCCACAUGGAAUCAGGAAGGGAAGGACUGAGAGGGGCCGAGGGAUUAGGCUCUUACUUUUCUUUUUCUCUUAACUGCAGGUGAGGAAGUAGAUUUAUAGCUCAAAGGAAAAAAAAAAGGUGUUUUCCCCUCUGGGGUUGAUGGAAGGAGGAGGAUGUUCGCUGAAGUACACUCCGCCUUUGGAGGCCCCAGCUGAAUGCGGUGUUGGCGCCUCCCAGCACCUUCGGGGCACGGACACCGGGACGGCUGCGGGGCCCCAGUGACAGUCCCUAAGUGGGAAGGACGGCACUGAGUCUAGCUCGGACUUUGGCUGACGGUGAGAUGACUCGCGUGUGACUCCCACUGAAUCUGGGAACGCAGUGUGGCCUCUCCUGGGAUUUCUGCAUGGCUGCGCUAGCUGGCAAGCAAUGCCUGGGCCCAGGCAAAGCGAAGGCUUCGGGAGUGUCUGAAGGGUCUGUCCACCCAAGGGUCUGUCCACGCGGCUGCUGUCCCACGGGCUCGCCUUCAGGCUGUGUGAGGAGAACCGAUGAGGUUCUGGAAGCCACCGGAAGACUUUCAAUCAUCAAACAUCCAAUUAUGUUCCCUAUGUCCUAUUUGCUAGGGCAGAGCAGUGGACACUAAGAAAAACAACGGUUCGCCGUAAUAGGACUUGGCUUCGGCUGCACUGACUCCGUCCUCUCCCGGUGCCUGUUUGCCAGUGUGACUUAGCUGCCCGCGAGCAAGCGGCACCACCAGGCCGUGUACCAGGGGAAAGCAUCGACCAUUUGCUUUGGGGUCACCUGGAAGCAGGUAACAUAAAAUGAAAAAAAAUCCUUCAACCACUCCACUGUCUCACUCACGGCCUGCGACUCUUCCAUCCGUCCGUCACUCAUCCACCCCCUCGUGGUCACUGUCCACUACCCUGACCGUGCCCAGGGGAGACCAGGUGCUGGAGCAUUUCCCGCGGUACCGUUAGCGUCUCGUGUGACGUUCGCACACCGUGUCAGGGGCCGCGCGUUGGCCUCCCCCCUCAGCUUCUCAGGUUGGUGCCCUCAUCCCCAAGGUGACGGUANGCCACUCCACUGUCUCACUCACGGCCUGCGACUCUUCCGUCCGUCCAUCACUCAUCCACACCCUCGUGGUCACUGUCCACUACCCUGACCGUGCCCAGGGGAGACCAGGUGCUGGAGCAUUUCCUGCGGUACCGUUCACGUCUCGUGUGACGUUCGCACACCGUGUCAGGGGCCGCGCGAUGGCCUCCCCCCUCAGCUUCUCAGGUUGGUGCCCUCAUCCCCAAGGUGACGGUACUUGGACGCAGUGAGGGUCAGAGUCGGUCAGGACGGUGGUGCCUCCUGAUGGGGUUAGUGGCCUUAUUGGAAGAGGGACAGAGGCAGAUGCCUCUGUGCCUGCCAGGUGAGGGCACAGCCAGAAGGCGGCCAUCUGAGAGCGGGGGACACGGUGCUCACCUGACGCAGAAUCGGCCAGCGCCCAGCCCUUGGGUUCUCCAGUCUCCGGACCUGUGGGCAACCCCAUUUCUGUGGUUAAACCACCCCGUUUAGAGUCUGUCGUAUGCAGCCUGGCCCCAUGCAGAUUUCUGUGUAACAACGGGGAUAAGG